AGCAGCCGCGGUAAUUCCAGCUCCAAUAGCGUAUAUUAAAGUUGUUGCAGUUAAAAAGCUCGUAGUUGAAUUUCGGGAUCGGCAUGUUGGUCGUGCCUUACGGGGUAUGAACUGGCAUCGUCGGUUUCUCACCUUCUGGAGAAUCGUGAUGCUCUUAAUUGGGUGUUGCGUGGAUCCAGGACCUUUACCUUGAAAAAAUUAGAGUGUUCAAAGCAGGCAUUUUGCUCGAAUACAUUAGCAUGGAAUAAUAAAAUAGGACGGUUUGGUUCUAUUUUGUUGGUUUCUAGGAUCACCGUAAUGAUUAAUAGGGAUAGUUGGGGGCAUUAGUAUUCAAUUGUCAGAGGUGAAAUUCUUGGAUUUAUUGAAGACUAACUACUGCGAAAGCAUUUGCCAAGGAUGUUUUCAUUAAUCAAGAACGAAAGUUAGGGGAUCGAAGACGAUCAGAUACCGUCGUAGUCUUAACCAUAAACUAUGCCGACUAGGAAUCAGACGAUGUUAAUUUUUUAAUGACUCGUUUGG
rnacentral:rRNA from 1 species